rnacentral:rRNA from 1 species
UCAGGAUGAACGCUAGCGACAGGCUUAACACAUGCAAGUCGAGGGGCAGCAUAAAAGUAGCAAUACUUGGUGGCGACCGGCGCACGGGUGAGUAACGCGUAUGCAACCUACCUAUCAGAGGGGAAUAACCCGGCGAAAGUCGGACUAAUACCGCAUAAAACAGGGGCACCGCAUGGUGAUAUUUGUUAAAGAAAUUCGCUGAUAGAUGGGCAUGCGUUCCAUUAGGUAGUUGGUGAGGUAACGGCUCACCAAGCCGACGAUGGAUAGGGGAACUGAGAGGUUGGUCCCCCACACUGGUACUGAGACACGGACCAGACUCCUACGGGAGGCAGCAGUGAGGAGUAUUGGUCAACGGGCGGGAGCCUGAACCAGCCAAGUCGCGUGAAGGAAGAAGGAUCUAUGGUUCGUAAACUUCUUUUGCAGGGGAAUAAAGUGCAGGACGUGUCCUGUUUUGUAUGUACCCUGAGAAUAAGGAUCGGCUAACUCCGUGCCAGCCGCAGC